AUGAACGCUGGCGGCGUGCCUAAUACAUGCAAGUCGAGCGAACAGAUGAGGAGCUUGCUCCUCUGACGUUAGCGGCGGACGGGUGAGUAACACGUGGAUAACCUACCUAUAAGACUGGGAUAACUUCGGGAAACCGGAGCUAAUACCGGAUAAUAUAUUGAACCGCAUGGUUCAAUAGUGAAAGACGGUUUUGCUGUCACUUAUAGAUGGAUCCGCGCCGCAUUAGCUAGUUGGUAAGGUAACGGCUUACCAAGGCGACGAUGCGUAGCCGACCUGGGAGGGUGAUCGGCCACACUGGAACUGAGACACGGUCCAGACUCCUACGGGAGGCAGCAGUAGGGAAUCUUCCGCAAUGGGCGAAAGCCUGACGGAGCAACGCCGCGUGAGUGAUGAAGGUCUUCGGAUCGUAAAACUCUGUUAUUAGGGAAGAACAAAUGUGUAAGUACCUAUGCACGUCUUGACGGUACCUAAUCAGAAAGCCACGGCUAAGUACGUG
rnacentral:rRNA from 1 species